rnacentral:rRNA from 1 species
GAUGAACGCUAGCUACAGGCUUAACACAUGCAAGUCGUGGGGUAGCGGAUACUUAGCUUGCUAAGUAUGCCGGCGACCGGCGCACGGGUGAGUAACGCGUACCGAACCUGCCCAUCACACAGGGAUAGGCUUGCGAAAGCAAGAUUAAUAUCUGAUGGUCUCAAUUUUAUGCAUGUAUGAUUGAGUAAGGCCUUCGGGCGGUGAUGGAUGGCGGUGCGUCCCAUUAGGAAGUUGGCGGGGUAACGGCCCACCAAUCCUUCGAUGGGUAGGGGUUCUGAGAGGAAGGCCCCCCAAAUGGGAAUGGGAUUACGGUCCAACCUCCACGGGGAGGAAGCAGGGGGGAAUUGUGGUAAAUGGGCGGGAGCCUGAACCAGCCAAUUAGGGUGGGGGAUGAAGGCCCUGGGGGUCGUAAACCCUUUUUAUCAGGGAAAAAAGGGCCCCACGUGUGGUGUCAUUGCAGGUAGCGAAAAAAAAAGGACCGGCUAAUUCCGU